GCAACAGCAGCAAAUAUAAGUAUAUAUUCUCAGAUUGCGUGAAACAUUUCUAUUUUUUAAUUUUAUAAACAAACAAAUGAUACAGCAUCGUCAUAAGAAACUACAAAAGAUAUACACACGCAGGUUAUUAUAAAAAGUGACCAUGGACCAUUCUUUAUUUGGAAUGAAAAUUUGACUUUUAUAUCAACCUUGGUGGGAAAUAUUUUGACAGCUCGUGUAAGAUUUAACAAAGCAACAAAGUAUAUAUACAAUUAACUCAAAAUUAGAUUGUUUUUCGUAAUAUUCGUGUGACACUUUGCCUUUGUCUUUAAAAAUGAUUAAAUUCAUUGUUACAUUAUCAGUAGGAAUUUAUGCUGGAAUUUACAUCAGCCAAAAUUAUGAAGUGCCUCGUGUCGAUGAACCUAGUAAAAUAUUUGAAAGAAUAAAACAAUUUGCAGACGAUCAUAAAAAGAAAUAGAAUUGAAAUAUAGAAAAUUGUGUGAUGACCAGAUAUAUUGAAAUCCGAAUUGUAUGCAAAAUAAUUGUACAUAAAUAGCUUUUAAUUAUAUAUAUAAAUAAAUAAUUACGUUUUCUUUAUAAAUUUUUUUUUUGUAAAAUAAAAGACAAAUAAAAAUCUUGACUGGAAUAAAAAAGAAAUGUGAUAACAA